UUCACCCAAUUUCGUUGGCCCAUAUGGGAUUUUAAUCAAGUCACGAAUCUAUAACUUUAUCUGUCGAUAGACUCCCCUCCGACGCUUGCACUUCAUCUUCUCCGAUCUCUUUUAUUUUUAUUUUUUCAGUUAUUCUCUCAAUCAAUUAUGUUCUUCAAUGUUACGAUUCAUCUGCCCUUGAUUCUUAUAUUAUAUAAAGCUCUUACUCUAUACCUAAAUCCAUCCUAGAAAAAGCCCUACUCUGCAAAAAAAACAGAACCAUGGCAAUAAAAUCCGCCGGAAAAGCAUAGCGAAAGCUGGGUCCCCCCUUAUUUGAUAGAACUCAAUCACUCAUGCUCAUCGAUAAACAGGGGACUGUGAUGCAAAGGUUUCAUCUCCUCUGCUCAUUGUUAAAAAAGUAAGUCUCUCUGUGAUUAGGGCUUCAAAUUGUUUCUUAAGCUGUUUGCUGGGGCCGUUGUCAGUGGCAUUCCUCUCUACAAGCAUAUUGCCAAUCUUGCUGGUAACCCUAAGAUCGUGCUACCGGUUCCUGCUUUCAACAGUCAUCAAUGGUGGAUCACAUGCAAGAAAACAAACUUGCUAUGCAGACAUGUUCAUUUUGAUUCUUUUCCACAUGUCUAGCUUCUUCAUGUUUUCAAUAUUUCUGAUUGGCUAUUGGUGGUUGCAGGAGUUUAUGAUUCUCCUUAUUAGAGCUUCAUCUUUCAAAGAAGCCAUGAAAAUGGGUGUUAAAGUUUACCACCACUUGAAGUCUGUGAUCAAGAAGAAGUAUGGUCAGGAUGCCACCAACGUUGGUGAUGAAGGUGGCUUUGCAAAUAAUUGUCUCAUAAACCUAAACAUCUAAACAAAUGAUAAAUCCAACAAAUAUUUCCAAAUUAA